AUAAGAUAUUACCUUAGAAUGAGAAUGCCGCCGAGAAUAAAACGAGUAAAAGUUCAUUCCAAGUGUUGUUGUAUUCUCAAUAAGUAGCCACAAACUUGGCGAUUCUCGAAGCUCGUUUUUAGAUAUUCUCUUAUUCGGUUGUCUCGCUCGAUACUUGGCCGCUUCUUUUUCGGAUUAUUUCGAAAGUAACGAAGCUCGAGACUUAUUUAUCUAGAUUUAAAUUAAAUCUUAAUUGGCGUAACUGCAACUCCGAAUAAUUGAACAGUCUGAAUCUGAAUAUACCGCAUUAAACGGUCGGCGUGAUUAUUAGCAAUUUAAGAAGGCCUUCGUUAAUUGAAUCUGAUGUUUAAAUUAUUCACCUCGUUAGAUGUUAUGUAAAACGAUGUUCAAGUUGAGAGAAGAUGGUCGUUCUUGCAUAAGAGACACGUUUUUAUUCGUGGCCGCAAUUGUCUUUCAAACACGCUUUUAACGUCAGUUUAAUGGUCGAGGAUUUACCGUAUAGGGAAAAGAGGAUUCUACAUAAAUGUCUUCUUUAUAGAAAUAAAGUUUCGUUUGAAAUUUUGAACGGGGUCUCGGUUAGGUCCUUAGGAGAGGAUCUGUUCGGUAUUAUGUAAAUGCGGGUGUACUUGUAACGGUGCGCAUUAUGGGUGUAUGUUUGGGAAGAAGACAAGUGUGACGAGAAACUUGGGAAAAUUGACCUGAAGCGCAGUUGUACCGUAUCUCGAAGCAAGGGGGAUCCUUGCCCCGUAUUUAGUUUAUUUACUUACCUUAUUUCCAUCUUCUUAAAUUUCCAUAUAUCCUUUCGCCGUUUCUCAUAUAUUUCCCUUGUAAUACUCCUUGCAAUAAACGUCAAAUAAGAAAGUUCAAUUGGAUUUAUCAACGGAAAUAU